rnacentral:rRNA from 1 species
CCUACGGGUGGCAGCAGUGAGGAAUAUUGGUCAAUGGACGAGAGCCUGAACCAGCCAAGUCGCGUGAAGGAUGACUGCCCUAUGGGUUGUAAACCUCUUUUAUAAAGGAAUAAAACGAGGCACGUGUGCCUUUUUGCAUGUACUUUAUGAAUAAGGAUCGGCUAACUCCGUGCCAGCAGCCGCGGUAAUACGGAGGAUCCGAGCGUUAUCCGGAUUUAUUGGGUUUAAAUGGUGCGUAGGUGGGUUGUUAAGUCAGUUGUGAAAGUUUGCGGCUCAACCGUAAAAUUGCAAUUGAUACUGGCAGUCUUGAGUACAGUUGAGGUAAGCGGAAUGCGUGGUGUAGCGGUGAAAUGCUUAGAUAUCACGAAGAACCCCGAUUGCGAAGGCAGCUUACUAAACUAUGACUGACAUUGAUGCUCGAAAGUGUGGGGAUCAAACAGGAUUAGAUACCCCAGUAGUC